rnacentral:sRNA from 1 species
GCUGGGCAUAGUGGUAUAUGCCUGUAAUCCCAGCAGCUUAGGAGGCUGAGGCAGGAGGAUGGCAAAUUCAAAGCCUGCCUCAACAACUUAGGAAGGCCCUAAAUAAAUCAGCAAGACCCUGUCUCUA